rnacentral:rRNA from 1 species
UACGAAGGGGGCUAGCGUUGCUCGGAAUCACUGGGCGUAAAGCGCACGUAGGCGGAUCUUUAAGUCAGAGGUGAAAUCCUGGAGCUCAACUCCAGAACUGCCUUUGAUACUGGGGAUCUCGAGUCCGGGAGAGGUGAGUGGAACUCCGAGUGUAGAGGUGAAAUUCGUAGAUAUUCGGAAGAACACCAGUGGCGAAGGCGGCUCACGUGGCCCGGUACUGACGCUGAGGUGCGAAAGCGUGGGGAGCAAACAGG